rnacentral:lncRNA from 12 species
GCGCCUUGGAAUUUUUUCCCCUCCGGGGGUAACGUAAUUUAAAGGGGGGGUUUUUUCCCAAAGGGGGGGGGGGGGGAACCCCCCCUAAAAAAAGAAUAAGGGUUCCGGGGGCCCCCCCCCCCCCCCCCGCACCCUGUGAGGUGCACUCAGGCAGGAGAAGCAGACCCCUGAGGAGACAGGGCACACCCUUCUAAAUGGCAUUGACCUCAGGCUCCCGGGCUGCGGCGGGGGCUGGCGAGCGGCGGACAGGCUCCCCCUAUUCCGUCCACACUGCCUACCGCCCCCCCCAGCUGGGCCCAGGGAUUCUGCCCCGGGGAUUCUCAACCCAGCGUCCUGAUCGGCUUGCCACCUCCUUCCAGCCGUCCUCACCGCCGGGAUCUCUGGCAGGUGAGCGUGUGCUGGCAGCCCCAGGGCUGGGCUUCCGAGGAGCGUGCACCUUCCCUGCCACCAGGGGCGGCUGGCCGCGACAUCAGGACCCCGUGGGAAGACCCGGAAGCAGAGUUCCUUCCGAGCACGCUUCUUGGAGCUCCAGUCACUAGGACGGCUCCAGAAGUGAGAGAUACCGAUAGAAACAAAGACCUUGACGUAGAAGUUUGACAUAGCCCUGUUCAAAUGAGUUUCAGGCAUUUACAACUUUUGGAAAGUUCUAGCCUUCUUAUAACUUGCUUUUCUCUCAUGUUCCCUUUCACUGGAUUUGCAUCCCCUUGUCCUUUGAUUGUCUUCUGCUCUUUGCAUCACGUUCGUCCUUGUUGGCGCAUCAUAAACUUGGCGUGGCUGUGGCCCCCUUAGCACCUUACCUCCAGCUCUGCUCAGACAGACCUCCAACGUGGGGUUUUCCAGUGGAAAAAGGAGUAUCAGGAAGCGUCUUGGAAGCCCACGCAUGGGUCAUCGGGAAGUCUGUGUUUUCCUGACGCACAAUCUUCGUCAGGGCUGGCAAACCCGUCCCUGUGCAGAGCAAGGGACAGUGGCAGGAGGCCAUGCACUGGGACUCCAGCCUCAUCUGGGUCACCUGUGGCCUGACCCGGACUGGGGCAACACGUGCCACGUGAGGGGAACCAGAAAGAAACCAGAUCCGUGGGCUCUGAUGUCCAUUUCCAUCGCUCUGUGCGGGGCAGUCAGGAGUACCAUUUCCCCCCUGACUGUGCUUGGAAAAUGGGCUCCCACCCCUGGCUGUGUGGGGACAGCAGUGAUGGCCCACACUCGCUUUCUGGGGAUCCUCGGAAUGUACUGGAAGCACCUUUCCCAAGAACCUUCCUGGACACCAGCGCCCCUGCACUUCUGGAGGGCCGCCCGCUUCACACUUGGCCCCGGGAGACGCUGCGUCCGCGCAGCCUGA